GACGAACGCUGGCGGCGUGCCUAAUACAUGCAAGUAGAACGCACAGUUUAUACCGUAGCUUGCUCCACCAUAGACUGUGAGUUGCGAACGGGUGAGUAACGCGUAGGUAACCUGCCUGGUAGCGGGGGAUAACUAUUGGAAACGAUAGCUAAUACCGCAUAAUAUUAAUUAUUGCAUGAUAAUUGAUUGAAAGUUGCAACUGAAUCACUACCAGAUGGACCUGCGUUGUAUUAGCUAGUAGGUGAGGUAACGGCCCACCUAGGCGACGAUACAUAGCCGACCUGAGAGGGUGAGCGGCCACACUGGGACGGGGAGACGACCCAGACUACUACGGGAGGCAGCAGUAGGGAAUCUUCGGCAAUGGACGAAAGGCUGACCAAGCAACGCCGCGUGAGUGAAGAAGGUUUUCGGAUCGUAAAGCUCUGUUGUAAGAGAAGAACGGGUGUGAGAGUGGAAAGUUCACACUGUGACGGUAUCUGACCAGAAAGGGACGGCUAACUACGUG
rnacentral:rRNA from 1 species